CAUGGCGCGUUGUAAACUAAAGGGGCGUUAUCUUGGGCGGGCUGGGUAUAGAUCCGUUGGAACACGGUAUCAUAGAGGGUGAGAAUCCCGUCUGUGACCUAGACUCCGUCCAUAUACGUUACGCUUCCAAAGAGUCGGGUUGUUUGGGAAUGCAGCCCAAAAUGGGUGGUAAAUUUCAUCUAAGGCUAAAUAUUGGCACGAGACCGAUAGCGAACAAGUACCAUGAGGGAAAGAUGAAAAGAACUUUGAAAAGAGAGUCAAAAAGUACGUGAAACCGUUAAAAGGGAAACGAAUGGAGCUAGCAUUUGUGCUUUUCACAAUCAGCCGGAGGGUAGGCGUCAGGGGAUUUUUGCAGGGACCUUUCCAUUCGUGGGAGGGCAUGCAAGGGUUUCCUUUAGGCGUUUGUCAGCUGGUGCACUUGUGGUCAGUGCAGGCCAACAUCAGUUUUUUCUGGCACAUAUACGGCGGGGGAAGGUAGUUGCGGCGCCUCGGUGUCGUAAUGUUAUAACCCCUGACGGGUGCGCUGGAAGAGACUGAGGAGUAGCAGCGCGCAUACUUCGGAGAGUUACCGCUGGGAUUGCAGGUGCAGGGAAACUGUUUGUCUUUUUGCCUAACAGCUGGAGGCAGGCAGUGCUUUGUGCCGUAAUUUGUCGUGUCGGUUCCUUCGGGAACAGGCAUGGUGGAGAUGAGCAGUUUCAUACGGGACCUACCCAGACCACGCGCUUGUGAUGUUGGGGAAAUGGCUUCAUCCGACCCGUCUUGAAACACGGACCAAGGAGUCUAACAUAUACGCGAGUCUUUGGGUUGAAAGCCCGCGGGCGUAAUGAAAGUGAAGGCACACUUGGUGUGCUGAGGUGAGAAACCGUCGUUCCCUUCUUCGGGAGGGGACGCGCGGAUGCAUCAUCGACCGAUCCGGAUGGCCUGUCCUGAAAGAUUUGAGUAAGAGCGUAUCUGUUGGGACCCGAAAGAUGGUGAACUAUGCCUGAACAGGGUGAAGUCUGAGGAAACUCAGAUGGAAGCUCGUAGCGAUUCUGACGUGCAAAUCGAUCGUCUGAUUUGGGUAUAGGGGCGAAAGACUAAUCGAACCAUCUAGUAGCUGGUUCCCUCCGAAGUUUCCCUCAGGAUAGCUGGAACUAACAACAAAAGCAGUUUUAUCAGGUAAAGCGAAUGAUUAGAGGCCUUGGGGUUGAAAUAACCUCAACCUAUUCUCAAACUUUAAAUAGGUAAGAAGCCUGGCUUGCUUAAUUGAAGUCAGGCAAACUGAAUGCAAGUUCCAAGUGGGCCAUUUUUGGUAAGCAGAACUGGCGAUGCGGGAUGAACCGAACGUGAAGUUAAAGUGCCAAAGUUCACGCUCACCUAGAACCCAGAAAAGGUGUUGGCUGAUGAAGACAGCAGGACGGUGGCCAUGGAAGUCGGAACCCGCUAAGGAGUGUGUAACAACUCACCUGCCGAAUCAGCCAGCCCUGAAAAUGGAUGGCGCUCAAGCGUGACACUUAUACUUCGCCGUUGCUUCUAACGAAACGUAAAAAAAAAAUGUCGCAACGAGUAGGAGGGCGUGGAGGUCGUGAAGCAGCUUUGGGCGUAAGCCUGAGUGAA
rnacentral:rRNA from 1 species